ensembl:lncRNA
CGGACCGGCUCGGCUCGGCUCGGCUCGGCUCCAUCACCCGGCUCGUGCCCACGCACUGGCUGAGGUAGUAGUUUGUGCUGUUGGGUCGUGACGCCGCCCGCUAUGGAGAUGACUGCGCAAGCUACUGCCUUGCCGGUGCUGGUGCCUCCGCUUCGGGACUAAAGCGAGGACACGCGGCCGCGCUCCCGACGCGGUUGUCCGGUUCGAGCAGAAUGUGCCGUUAGUUGAAAAGCUUGCAUGUAUUUGCGGGAUAUCCGACACUCCCGUUUGUGUCAUUUGCAUGCACAUCUUCUAAAACGCACGAGGAAGUCGACAUCUCCGGUUUUCCCACCAGCUUGUGGGCGGAAACGUGCAGGUCAACGAGGAGACGAGGGACGCGGCUCCGAUCCAGCGGAGCGGAUCGCGCUUCCUCCUCCUGCACCCGGACGCAUUUAAAUAAUAAUUCCAUUAUUAUGCUAAAUGUGCUUGUUGCGUAUGUUAGGGGCUGCCACAUGACCCCCCCAGGCCUUUUAGCAGUGGUGUCCGAGAGCCCUGAUGUGGGUCACAUGGGACCUCCUCCCAUCAGCAUCUGGUUGCUCUGUAUCAAAUGGCUAGGGGUCAUGAUGGUGAUGGGCGGGGUCAGCUGGAAUGAUGGACAGAUGACUGGCGCCUUCGUUUGACCUCCUGAGAACACGGCCAUAAAUGAAUGAGUUCUGAAUCUGCCCACAAGCAUCUGUGCUGAUAUAAAACCAUUUAAAACAAGAGUUUGACUUCUGUGAUAACCGGAGGUCGAAAGCAGUGUUUUGCUUUAGCAGAAGCGCUAAAGUACUACGCACACGUGAUACUACUGCUUAUUGUAGCACUACAGGUCUUCCUACUGUAUAAAUAAGAGUAAAAAAUGAAGAAAAUCAAGUAACCCCCCCCCCAAAUAAUUUAUUAUAGCAAGUGUAAAGCGAGCCGGUUUACGAGCCAGUGAGCAGCUCACCAGCAGACCUUGUCCUCAUCCAUCUUGUGCCGGCCUGCACAUAAAUCACGCUUUAGGGCCCAAACACUAAAGCGGUUCAUUUGACUCCUCCCUGUGGAACGUGCCUGCUCAGAUGGUUCUCACAGCUGAAGCAGCCUCAUCCUGACUGGACUGUCGACUGGAUCAUUGUAGUGUUUGGGAUUUUAACUUUUAGAAGCUGUAUUUUUCAUCUCCCAGUUUAUGACGUUGUUGGUCUCACCAAUAGAAAUGCGUAUUGAAACAAUGAUUGGAAGAGA